GGCCGCCUGGCGAAAUGGCAUCGCGUCUGACUACGAUGUAAUUGCAGUGGGGAUUACGUAAUCAGGAGAUUGCAGGUUCGAGCCCUGCGGUGGUCA